GACGGAGGAUGCAAGCGUUAUCCGGAAUGAUUGGGCGUAAAGCGUCCGCAGGUGGCAGUUCAAGUCUGCUGUCAAAGACCGGGGCUUAACUUCGGAAAGGCAGUGGAAACUGAACAGCUAGAGUAUGGUAGGGGCGGAGGGAAUUCCUGGUGUAGCGGUGAAAUGCGCAGAUAUCGGGAGGAACACCAAUGGCGAAGGCAGCUCGCUGGGACGGUACUGACGCUGAGGCGCGAAAGCGUGGGGAGCAAACAGG
rnacentral:rRNA from 1 species